rnacentral:misc_RNA from 1 species
AAAAGAGAGCAGUACGUGAAAUUGUUGGAAGGGAAACGAUUGAAGUCAGUCAUACUGACGGGGAAUCAACCUCUUGGGGGUGAAUUCGCGAGAGCGACAUUUGCGCUUUUUUGGUGCACUUUCUCGUAUUGUAGGUUAGCAUCGGUUUUGAUCGUUAUAAAAUGAUCGGAGGAAUGUAGCUUCGAUCUCGUAUUGAAGUGUUAUAGCCUUUGGUAGAUGUAACGGUGGAGACCGAGGAUUGCAACGGAUACCCUCACGGGCUAUUCGCCUGGCCUCUGAUACGUGACUCUGGCGUCGAAAGCUUGCUUACGAUGUCGAAGUGUGCGGUCAAUAGGUUAGAACGGAUUAAAUUCGUUAAGGAUGCUGACGUAAUGGCUUUAAACGA